AUGCAAGUCGAACGGCAGCACAGGAGAGCUUGCUCUCUGGGUGGCGAGUGGCGGACGGGUGAGGAAUAUAUCGGAAUCUACCCUUUCGUGGGGGAUAACGUAGGGAAACUUACGCUAAUACCGCAUACGAACUGGGGUUGAAAAACUGAGGUUGAAAGCGGCGGUCCGCAAGGCGUCGCGCGGAUGGAUGAGCCGAUAUCCGAUUAGCUAGUUGGCGGGGUAAAGGCCCACCAAGGCGACGAUCGGUAGCUGGUCUGAGAGGAUGAUCAGCCACACUGGAACUGAGACACGGUCCAGACUCCUACGAGAGGCAGCAGUGGGGAAUAUUGGACAAUGGGCGCAAGCCUGAUCCAGCCAUGCCGCGUGUGUGAAGAAGGCCUUCGGGUUGUAAAGCACUUUUGUUGGGAAAGAAAAGCGGUCGGUUAAUACCCGGUCGUUCUGACGGUACCCAAAGAAUAAGCACCGGCUAACUUCGUGCCAGCAGCCGCGGUAAUACGAAGGGUGCAAGCGUUACUCGGAAUUACUGGGCGUAAAGCGUGCGUAGGUGGUUUGUUAAGUCAGAUGUGAAAGCCCCGGGCUCAACCUGGGAAUUGCAUUUGAUACUGGCAGACUAGAGUGCGGUAGAGGAGAGUGGAAUUCCCGGUGUAGCAGUGAAAUGCGUAGAGAUCGGGAGGAACAUCAGUUGCGAAGGCGGCUCUCUGGACCAGCACUGACACUGAGGCACG
rnacentral:rRNA from 1 species